rnacentral:tRNA from 1 species
CACCGUGUUGAUAACGCGGGGGUCGUUGGUUCGAGUCCAACCAGCCCUA